rnacentral:rRNA from 1 species
AACGAACGCUGGCGGCAGGCCUAACACAUGCAAGUCGAGCGCUCCGCAAGGGGAGUGGCGCACGGGUGAGUAACACGUGGGAACCUACCUUCUGGUACGGAACAACCAAGGGAAACUUUGGCUAAGACCGUAUACGACCUCCGGGUGAAAGAUUGAUCGCCGGAAGAGGGGCCCGCGUCCGAUUAGGUAGUUGGUGAGGUAACGGCUCACCAAGCCUUCGAUCGGUAGCUGGUCUGAGAGGAUGACCAGCCACACUGGGACUGAGACACGGCCCAGACUCCUACGGGAGGCAGCAGUGGGGAAUAUUGGACAAUGGGCGGCAAGCCUGAUCCAGCCAUGCCGCGUGAGUGAUGAAGGCCUU